CAUGCAAGUCGAACGGAAAGUGCCCAGCUUGCUGGGUGACUCGAGUGGCGAACGGGUGAGUAACACGUGGGUGAUCUGCCCUGCACUUUGGGAUAAGCCUGGGAAACUGGGUCUAAUACCGAAUACACCCUGCUGGUCGCAUGGCCUGGUGGGGGAAAGCUUUUGCGGUGUGGGAUGGGCCCGCGGCCUAUCAGCUUGUUGGUGGGGUGAUGGCCUACCAAGGCGACGACGGGUAGCCGGCCUGAGAGGGUGUCCGGCCACACUGGGACUGAGAUACGGCCCAGACUCCUACGGGAGGCAGCAGUGGGGAAUAUUGCACAAUGGGCGCAAGCCUGAUGCAGCGACGCCGCGUGGGGGAUGACGGCCUUCGGGUUGUAAACCUCUUUCAAUAGGGACGAAGCGCAAGUGACGGUACCUAGAGAAGAAGCACCGGCCAACUACGUGCCAGCAGCCGCGGUAAUACGUAGGGUGCGAGCGUUGUCCGGAAUUACUGGGCGUAAAGAGCUCGUAGGUGGUUUGUCGCGUUGUUCGUGAAAACUCACA
rnacentral:rRNA from 1 species